rnacentral:rRNA from 1 species
CAAACUUGGUCAUUUAGAGGAAGUAAAAGUCGUAACAAGGUCUCCGUUGGUGAACCAGCGGAGGGAUCAUUACCGAGUUUACAACUCCCAAACCCAAUGUGAACGUUACCAAACUGUUGCCUCGGCGGGAUCUCUGCCCCGGGUGCGUCGCAGCCCCGGACCAAGGCGCCCGCCGGAGGACCAACCAAAACUCUUUUGUAUACCCCCUCGCGGGUUUUUAUAUCUGAGCCAUCUCGGCGCCUCUCGUAGGCGUUUCGAAAAUGAAUCAAAACUUUCAACAACGGAUCUCUUGGUUCUGGCAUCGAUGAAGAACGCAGCGAAAUGCGAUAAGUAAUGUGAAUUGCAGAAUUCAGUGAAUCAUCGAAUCUUUGAACGCACAUUGCGCCCGCCAGUAUUCUGGCGGGCAUGCCUGUCCGAGCGUCAUUUCAACCCUCGAACCCCUCCGGGGGGUCGGCGUUGGGGAUCGGCCCUUUACGGGGCCGGCCCCGAAAUACAGUGGCGGUCUCGCCGCAGCCUCUCCUGCGCAGUAGUUUGCACACUCGCAUCGGGAGCGCGGCGCGUCCAUUGCCGUUAAACACCCAACUUUCUGAAAUGUUGACCUCGGAUCAGGUAGGAAUACCCGCUGAACUUAAGCAUAUCAAUAAGCGGAGG